CCGCUCCUCAACCUGCUAUAGCUCCAUAUCUCACUCAGUGGAAAAGCUCCAGUCUUUUUUUUUUUUUUUUUUUUUUUGACAAAGUCUUGCUCUGUCACCCACACUGGAGUGCAGUGGUGUGAUCUAGGCUCACUGCAACCUCCACCUCCUGGGUUCAAGUGAUUCUCUAGCCUCAGCCUCCCGAGUAGCCUGCCACCACUCCUGGCUAAUUUUUUGUAUUUUUAGUAGAGAUGGGGUUUCAUUAUGUUGGUCAGGCUAGUCUUGAACUCCUGAGCGCCACUGAUCUGCCUGCCUCAGCCUCCCAACGUGCUAGGAUUGCAGGUGUGAGCCACUGCACCCGGCCCAGUCUUUAAGGCCCAACAUGAUGACCUCCUCUGGGUCUGAAUUAAUGUAGUUUUGAUUCCCCCUACAACUUCCCUGUUGGGAAUUUGCUGCCAAGCUCCUGCUGUACCCCCAGAGAGGGGAGACUUCUUGCCUCCAGGAGCUGCUGUUCUAUACUUAGAACAGCGUUUCCCAGCCAAAUCAUCCUUGGACUAACUACCUGUGAUCUAUAGCACAGACCAUAGCUGUGAAGAAAACGGGUAAGGUACCCAACUAGACGCCUAUCUGGACACAAUAGUCAACAGGAUGGAUACAGGGCGUUCUCUCCUGGAGAUGCCAGUCAGUUCAUGGAGUUGACUUGACUUGCCACAGGAGCAUGGAGGAUGGAUCACCUGCACCCUCCUCCCUCCCAUCCUCUUUGCCUCUUUAUGAGAUGCCUCUUUAUGGGAUAGCUCACAAGGUGAACAGCAACUAUCUAAUAAUCCAACUGGUGUCCCCUCUCCAAUAAGGGUUAUAACAAUCUCAUGUGGAUAUGAGAUCCUUACAGGGUAAGAAAUUUCCUCCAGUCUCAUUGUCAGUAGCCAUUUUUACUCCUGAAGCUAUGUACUUGGAGUGCCUGGACCAAGAUGGAGUAAACAAGCAAAUAGGUCCCUGAGUCCUGUGGGCACUCUGGUACUCCUAGCAGAGUGAAGGCUGUUCUGGAGCUAUUAGCAGCAUCACAAGCCACUGCUCACAACCUGGAAGGAGAAUUCCCAUACCCAACCACUGUGUGUCCCAGCGUGUGAUAUCCAUCCACAAGGAGUUCAUUCAAACUGGUCUGUUGAACAAUAAAAUAUCCCAUCAAACACAUUGUCACUGUAUAGCAACAUCCACCACAAACUGAAAUGCUCUCUGGCAACGACACGUGGUUCCAUCCUAACUUUUGAAAUGUAAGAAUGGGCACCACAGAAGAGGGUGGUACCAAGAGCCCAGCUGAGGGUCCUGCACCCCAUCAAGUCACUUCCCAAUCAGUCACCUGCUUACUUUGUGACUUUUCUGGGCCUCUGAUCCCAGUCUCAGUGAGUGCUGUCGACUAGAAUGCAAGCUCCACAAAGGCACAGAUUUUUGUCUGUUAUGUUUGCUGCUGUGUUCCCAGUGUCUAGAGCAGUAUAUGGCAUGCAGAAAGGCCUUGAAAAAUAUUUGACGAGUAGGCGAAUAAAUGGGAGCCCCUAAAAAGCAGUACCCUUGAGCCAGUACUUGCAAGCAGUACUUGGUGAGCAGUCAUAAAGAAUGUGUUAAGUGAAUGAAUACAUUUCCAAAGUUAAAAUGCCCAAACAAACCAAUCCCUUUGAGAGUGGUUGAGUCUCUUCUGUGUUCCUCUGAGUGGAUCAGGGCUUGUAGCAUCAUCCUAAGCAACAUUCCCUAAGUUUUCCUGCAAGGAGCCACAGUGGAGGAAGACUCCAGAUUACAUGACUAAUCUGGGAGGGAUAUUAAGAUGUUACCUGUGGGUCACCAGGACACAUUCUCAUCACCACU
rnacentral:lncRNA from 1 species